rnacentral:rRNA from 1 species
GAUGAACGCUGGCGGCGUGCCUAAUACAUGCAAGUCGAGCGAACGGACGAGAAGCUUGCUUCUCUGAUGUUAGCGGCGGACGGGUGAGUAACUCGUGGAUAACCUACCUAUAAGACUGGGAUAACUUCGGGAAACCGGAGCUAAUACCGGAUAAUAUUUUGAACCGCAUGGUUCAAAAGUGAAAGACGGUCUUGCUGUCACUUAUAGAUGGAUCCGCGCUGCAUUAGCUAGUUGGUAAGGUAACGGCUUACCAAGGCAACGAUGCAUAGCCGACCUGAGAGGGUGAUCGGCCACACUGGAACUGAGACACGGUCCAGACUCCUACGGGAGGCAGCAGUAGGGAAUCUUCCGCAAUGGGCGAAAGCCUGAUGGAGCAACGCCGCGUGAGUGAUGAAGGUCUUCGGAUCGUAAAACUCUGUUAUUAGGGAAGAACAUAUGUGUAAGUAACCGUGCACAUCUUGACGGUACCUAAUCAGAAAGCCACGGCUAACUACGUG